UACGGGGGGGGCAAGCGUUGUUCGGAAUUACUGGGCGUAAAGGGCUCGUAGGCGGCCAACUAAGUCGGAUGUGAAAUCCCCAGGCUCAACCUGGGAACUGCAUCCGAUACUGGAUGGCUUGAAUCCGGGAGAGGAAUGUAGAAUUCCAGGUGUAGCGGUGAAAUGCGUAGAUAUCUGGAGGAAUACCGGUGGCGAAGGCGGCAUUCUGGACCAUUACUGACACUGAAUCGCGAAAGCUAGGGGAGCAAACGGG
rnacentral:rRNA from 1 species